UACCGGCGCCUCAAGUGGUAGUCGAUUUUAUUGGGCCUAAAGCAUCCGUAGCCUGUUCUGUAAGUUUUCGGUUAAAUCUAUGCGCUCAACGUAUAGGCUGCCGAAAAUACUGCAGAACUAGGGAGUGGGAGAGGUAGACGGUACUCGGUAGGAAGGGGUAAAAUCCUUUGAUCUAUUGAUGACCACCUGUGGCGAAGGCGGUCUACCAGAACACGUUCGACGGUGAGGGAUGAAAGCUGGGGGAGCAAACCGG
rnacentral:rRNA from 1 species